rnacentral:rRNA from 1 species
ACGCUCGACACCUACAGGAGGCAGCAGUUGGGAAUAUUGGACAAUGGAGGAAACUCUGAUCCAGUGACGCCGCGUGAAGGAAGAAGGUCUUCGGAUUGUAAACUUAUUUUGUCAGGGAAGAAAAAUGACUGUACCUGAAGAAAAAGCACCGGCUAACUACGUGCCAGCAGCCGCGGUAAUCUGAGCGGGCUGGCAAGGC